rnacentral:rRNA from 1 species
AACGAACGCUGGCGGCGCGCCUAAUACAUGCAAGUCGAGCGAGAAGGUGUAGCAAUACACUUGUAAAGCGGCGAACGGGUGAGGAAUACAUGGGUAAUCUACCAUCGAGUGGGGAAUAACCAGCCGAAAGGUUGGCUAAUACCGCGUACGCUUCCGAGUCUUCGGGCUUGGAAGGAAAGCCGCACUGUGAGUGCGGCGCUCUUUGAUGAGCUCAUGUCCUAUCAGCUUGUUGGUAGGGUAACGGCCUACCAAGGCUUUGACGGGUAGCUGGUCUGAGAGGACGAUCAGCCACACUGGCACUGCGACGACGGGCCAGACUCCGUACGGGAGGCAGCAAGGUAAAGGAAUAUUGCGACAAGUGGGACGAAAGCCUGACGCAGCGACGCCGCGGUGGGGAU